GUAAGAAAUAUUUAUAUUUAAUUAUUAUUUUCUGCUUAAGGUACAAUUAUGAUUCUGAACAAUUUGUUGACAAUCAAAUUCCAAUUCUUGUGAUUGGGACAAAGCAGGAUCUUGUACUAGAAGUUUAUCCACCUGGUCGAACUAAACGUACUGCUUCAAUUGCAGAAGAAUGUGGUGCUGAUGAAAUUUAUGUAGACUGUAGACAGACACGUUCUUUUGCACCAGGUUCAAGUAAUGCUGUGAAGCUUAGCAGAUAUUUUGAUAAAGUGAUUGAAAAGAAAUACCAAGGUCAAGGAAGUGGUCAUGUUUCUUCAAUUUUAGAUCGAAGAAGAAUUGCAUCUAAUUCUUCUAAACAGUCUCAUGUAGAUUAAUUUACAAUUGAGUUAUUAGAUUUGUUUAUUCCUGUUAUUUAUUGUAAUUCACUAUUUCAUAGUUGGUAACUAUAUUUUUGAAAGAAUAUAUUUUGGAAAAAAAUGUGUGAUAUAUUGUAUUUUAGACAAUUAUAUAAUAUUUAUUUUGGCAUUUAUUGCGGAAAUGUUUAUUGUAACAGAAUAUCUACUUUAUAUACAUAUUUAUGAAUAUACAAAUAUAUAUAAAUAGGAAUUUAUGUUGUUCAAUACGUCUUAUGCAUUCCUGUAUCGGUUAAUUAAUCACAAAAAUUAACAGAACAUAUUUUAUGAAGAAUAAAAUGUCUUUUUUAAUGAAAUUGCUGUUUUU